AAACAGGGCCUUAAAUAUCACUCCCUGUGUCUCUGGUGUCAGUGUUCAGUAAGAAGCAGAGUGUCUGGGACUGAGAGCUCAUUAUAAAUAAACAACAAAGAAAACCAGAUUUACAAUUAACAAAUACUCUCUCUCUCUCUCUCUCUCUCUCUCUCUCUUUCUCUUUCUCGCAUUUAGGCUCGUUUCUCCGUGCAAUGUAGUUCACUACAAAACUAGCAGAGAAACGAUAUGGCCAAGUGUCACCGAAACGACAUCGGAUCCGUCGUGCUAGACCGCGCUACCACCACCACGUCCGCCGGAGGAGGCGGUCACUUCCGUCUCUGGUCAUCCUUCUCCGGUGCUUCAUUCCGCCGGAAAAUCUUCUACGCCGUCAGUUGCGGCGGCAGCUCCCGCUAUCGCCACCACAACGACAAAAACAACGUCGCUCCGUCCAGUCCUCCCCCUCCCCAGGCCACUGCCACUAGAUCAACGACGACAAAAACGACGCCGCAGUCGCACUCCAAAGAAAAAGAGCUGGAAAAGGUAAAACCGAAGUCCGAGAAGCUCUCGGAUCUUCUGAACCUCGCGCAGUUUUCGGAGUCAGAGAACGACGACGUGACCAAGAAGAAGGUGGAGGCUUUGGAUGAGCUGAAGCGCGUGGCGAAGGAAUUGCAGGUCGAAGACGACUCGGCGAAGAGGAAAGAGGCGGCCAGCAGAGUGAGAUUGCUCGCCAAGGAAGAUGUGGAAGCCAGAGCGACGCUGGCGAUGCUCGGAGUCAUUCCUCCGCUCGUCGCCUUGCUCGACUCCGACGACGUCGUUGCUCAGAUCGCAUCGCUCUACGCUCUGCUCAAUCUCGGGAUCGGCAACGAUGUAAACAAGGCUGCAAUUCUCCAAGCAGGGGCUGUUCACAAAAUGCUUAAACUCAUUGAAUCCCCAAAUCCUCCAGACCCAUCAGUCUCAGAAGCUAUAAUUGCAAAUUUCCUUGGCUUAAGCGCAUUGGAUUCGAAUAAACCCAUCAUUGGAGCUUCAGGUGCCAUACCCUUCAUGGUUAAAACCCUCAAGAAUUUGGACAACACAAGUAGCCCUCAAGCUAAGCAAGAUGCCUUGAGAGCUCUCUACAACCUUUCAAUCUUCCCAUCCAAUAUUUCGUUCAUAUUGGAAACUGAUUUGAUCCCAUUUUUCCUGAAUUCGCUUGGAGACAUGGAAGUGAGUGAAAGAAUCCUUGCAAUUCUAAGCAACAUGGUAUCUGUCCCCGAAGGUCGAAAAGCAAUUAGCAGUGUCCGGGAUGCAUUCCCAAUAUUGGUUGAUGCAUUGAAUUGGAACGAUUCGCCGGGGUGUCAAGAGAAGGCAUCCUACAUUUUGAUGGUGAUGGCACACAAGGCAUUUGGGGAUAGGCAAGCCAUGAUCGAGGCAGGAAUGGUAUCGGCAUUGCUUGAAUUAACGCUUUUGGGUAGCACAUUGGCACAGAAGAGAGCCUCAAGGAUCUUGGAGUGUUUGAGAGUGGAUAAAGGAAAGCAGGUUUCACAAAGCUUUGGUGGGAGUAUGGGUGCAGUGGUUUCUGCUCCCAUUUGUGGCUCUUCGUCGUCUUCUACAAACCCGAACAUGGGUUCCAAGGAGUGUUUGGAAGAGGAGGAGGACAUGAUGAGUGAGGAGAAGAAAGCCGUGAAGCAAUUAGUGCAACAGAGUUUGCAAAACAACAUGAGGAGGAUCGUGAAGAGGGCCAAUUUGCCGCAAGAUUUCGUCCCAUCGGAUCAUUUCAAGUCACUCACCUCAAGUUCAACUUCAAAGAGCUUGCCAUUUUGAGGAAUUAGAGCUGCCAAUGAAGAUGUGGAGAUUGAAUUGAAGUGAAGAAUUUAUGAAAUCUGAAGAGAAGAACCAGAGCAAAGCUGAGCCGUUCGUCAUCAAGUAAGGUCAUAGACAUUUCUGUCCCCACUGAGGUACAUGUAUUAUCACAUAAACUUCAUGGUGGGGUAUGGGGCAUUUUGUAAUCUAUGUAAAUUUAGAUCUUUUGCUAUAUGAUUGAGUAACUGGACUUGUCUCUGUGUGUGUAUAUAUUUGUAGUGUGAAUCUGAUAUUUACCUCUGGGCCUUUUAUUUUGUUAUUUGAAAUGUGCAAAAUUUUGGUUGUGUACAGUAAA